rnacentral:rRNA from 1 species
AACGAACGCUGGCGGCAUGCCUAACACAUGCAAGUCGAACGAGACCUUCGGGUCUAGUGGCGCACGGGUGCGUAACGCGGGGGAACCUGCCCUUAGGUUCGGAAUAACUCCCCGAAAGGGAUGCUAAUACCGGAUAAUGUCUUCGGACCAACGAUUUAUCGCCUUUGGAUGGGCCCGCGUUGGAUUAGCUAGUUGGUAGGGUAAAAGCCUACCAAGGCGACGAUCCAUAGCUGGUCUGAGAGGAUGAUCAGCCACACUGGGAAUGAGACACGGCCCAGAAUCCUACGGGAGGGAGCAGUGGGGAAUAUUGGACACUGGGCGAAAGCCUAAUCCAGCCAUGCCGCGUGAGUGAUGAAGGCCUUAGGGUUGUAAAGCUGUUUUACCCGGGAUGAUAAUGACAGUACCGGGAGAAUAAGCUCCGGCUAACUACGUG